rnacentral:rRNA from 1 species
UACGUAGGGUGCGAGCGUUGUCCGGAAUUAUUGGGCGUAAAGAGCUCGUAGGCGGUGUGUCGCGUCGGUCGUGAAAACUUUCAGCUUAACUGGGAGCUUGCGGUCGAUACGGGCAUCACUGGAGUUCGGCAGGGGAGACUGGAAUUCAUGGUGUAGCAGUGAAAUGCGUAGAGAUCAUGAGGAAGACCAGUGGCGAAGGCGGGUCUCUGGACAGUUCCUGACACUGAGGCACGAAGGCCAGGGGAGCAAACGGG